rnacentral:rRNA from 1 species
ACGUCCGUCGUGAAGAGGGAAACAACCCAGACCGCCAGCUAAGGUCCCAAAGUCUAUAUUAAGUGGGAAACGAAGUGGGAAGGCUUAGACAGCUAGGAUGUUGGCUUAGAAGCAGCCAUCAUUUAAAGAAAGCGUAAUAGCUCACUAGUCGAGUCGGCCUGCGCGGAAGAUGUAACGGGGCUCAAAUAUAGCACCGAAGCUGCGGCAUCAGACGAAAGUCUGUUGGGUAGGGGAGCGUUGUGUAAGCGGAUGAAGGUGUGUUGAGAAGCAUGCUGGACGUAUCACAAGUGCGAAUGCUGACAUAAGUAACGAUAAAACGGGUGAAAAACCCGUUCGCCGGAAGACCAAGGGUUCCUGUCCAACGUUAAUCGGGGCAGGGUGAGUCGGCCCCUAAGGCGAGGCUGAAAAGCGUAGUCGAUGGGAAACGGGUUAAUAUUCCCGUACUUGGUAAAGCUGCGAUGUGGGGACGGAGCAGGUUAGGUUAGCGUGCUGUUGGAUAUGCACGUUUAAGUUGGUAGGUGGGGAGUUUAGGCAAAUCCGGACUUCCUUAACACUGAGAGAUGAUGACGAGGCUCUACGGAGCUGAAGUAACCGAUACCACACUUCCAGGAAAAGCCACUAAGCUUCAGGUUUAUCUAAACCGUACUGAAAACCGACACAGGUGGUCAGGUAGAGAAUACUCAGGCGCUUGAGAGAACUCGGGUGAAGGAACUAGGCAAAAUAGCACCGUAACUUCGGGAGAAGGUGCGCCGGCGUAGAUUGUAGUCCCUCGCGGGCGAAGGUUGAACCGGUCGAAGAUACCAGCUGGCUGCAACUGUUUAUUAAAAACACAGCACUCUGCAAACACGAAAGUGGACGUAUAGGGUGUGAUGCCUGCCCGGUGCUGGAAGGUUAAUUGAUGGUGUAAUCGAAAGAGAAGCUCCUGAUCGAAGCCCCAGUAAACGGCGGCCGUAACUAUAACGGUCCUAAGGUAGCGAAAUUCCUUGUCGGGUAAGUUCCGACCUGCACGAAUGGCAUAAUGAUGGCCAGGCUGUCUCCACCCGAGACUCAGUGAAAUUGAAAUCGCCGUGAAGAUGCGGUGUACCCGCGGCUAGACGGAAAGACCCCGUGAACCUUUACUAUAGCUUGACACUGAACAUUGAAUUUUGAUGUGUAGGAUAGGUGGGAGACUUAGAAGAUGAUACGCCAGUAUUGUUGGAGUCGUCCUUGAAAUACCACCCUUUAACGUUUGAUGUUCUAACGAAGAUUACGAAACGUGGUCUCGGACAGUGUCUGGUGGGUAGUUUGACUGGGGCGGUCUCCUCCCAAAGAGUAAC